rnacentral:rRNA from 1 species
GUUAGGAAUAUUGGACAAUGGGCGCAAGCCUGAUCCAGCCAUGCCGCGUGAACGAUGAAGGCCUUCGGGUUGUAAAGUUCUUUAGCCGAUGAUUAUAAUGACUGUAGUCGGAAAAUAAGCCCCGGCUAACUUCGUGCCAGCAGCCGCGGUAAUACGAAGGGGGCGAGCGUUAUUCGGAAUCACUGGGCGUAAAGCGUGCGUAGGCGGUCUCGUAAGUUAGGAGUGAAAGCCCAGGGCUCAACCUUGGAAUUGCUCUUAAAACUGCAAGGCUAGAAUCUCGGAGAGGAUAGCGGAAUUUCCAGUGUAGCAGUGAAAUGCGUAGAUAUUGGAAGGAACACCAGUGGCGUAAGCGGCUAUCUGGACGAGUAUUGACGCUGAGGCACGAAAGCGUGGGGAUCAAACAGGAUUAGAAACCCUUGUAGUCC